GAAGACCCUGCAAUUUUGCAAGUGUGAAGUUGAAGCUGUACGCUUGAUUAGGUUCAACCUGUGGCCAUCUUCAACCAAAUUUCCGAAGGUGGCAUUUCACUUUGACUUCAUGCGCUGGUUAUGUGGUCUUCUUCUUGAAAGCUUGGUGUCAGUUAAAAGUUUCCGCUCCGCAUUAGACGCGAGGACAUCAAAGCACAUGAAGACAUAUAUUCAUCACCCUGUCAAAGAUUUGUACAAAGUGCUUGUAGGAGGAACAGCCGAUGAAUUUCGACAUUUUAUCUACCAAAUGGAAAACAUCCACGAUGAUGGAUCCAAAUGUCCAGCUUGUUAUGAGGAUUCUCCCUCCCUGAUAAGCUUGCUAGAGCACAGGAUAUAGAAAAAAAAGCAAGGAGGCUCUUCAAGAAAUUUUGGAACCUUUUGCAG